rfam:Luteibacter sp. 22Crub2.1 genome assembly, contig: H037DRAFT_scaffold00002.2
GGAGUCGGCCGGACAGUCGCGUCGCGCCUUCGGGCGUAUCGAGGAAAGUCCGGGCUCCAUAGGGCAGGGUGCCAGGUAACCCCUGGGCAGCGUGAGCUGACGGCCAGUGCAACAGAGAGCAGACCGCCGAUGGCCCCGCAAGGGGAUCAGGUAAGGGUGAAAGGGUGCGGUAAGAGCGCACCGCGUGCGGGGACAACGUCGCAUGGCACGGUAAACCCCACCCGGAGCAAGACCAAAUAAGGGGACUAUGACGUUGCCCGCGUCGUCCCCGGGUAGGUUGCUGGAGCCUGGCGGUGACGCCAGGCCGAGAAGAAUGACUGUCACGUCGCAAGACGCACAGAACCCGGCUUACAGGCCGACUCCUUCU